GAUGAACGCUGGCGGCGUGCCUAAUACAUGCAAGUCGAGCGAACAGACGAGGAGCUUGCUCCUCUGACGUUAGCGGCGGACGGGUGAGUAACACGUGGAUAACCUACCUAUAAGACUGGGAUAACUUCGGGAAACCGGAGCUAAUACCGGAUAAUAUAUUGAUCCGCAUGGUUCAAUAGUGAAAGACGGUUUUGCUGUCACUUAUAGAUGGAUCCGCGCCGCAUUAGCUAGUUGGUAAGGUAACGGCUUACCAAGGCAACGAGGCUUAGCCGACCUGAGAGGGUGAUCGACCGCACUGAAACUGCAGCACGGUCACGAAUCCUACGGGAGGCAGCAGUAGGGGAUCUUCCGCAAUGGCCGAAAGCCUGACGGAGCAACGCCGCAUGAGUGAUGAAGGUCUUCGGAUCGUAAAACUCUGUUAUUAAGAAAGAACAAAUGUGUAAGUAACUAUGCACGUCUUGACGGUACCUAAUCAGAAAGCCACGGCUAACUACGUG
rnacentral:rRNA from 1 species